CCCACCCCUGGUAUCCGCUCUUCUGAUCUCUGCUUCUCUGAGUUUGGUGUUUUGUUUUUUAGAUUCCACAAAGAAGUGAAAUUGUCAGAGUGUUUGGCUUUUUCUGAUUUACUGCAUUUAGCGUAACGCCUCAGUGCCCACCGUGUUGCUGCAGACGGCGCAGUUGCCUUUCUGUGGCUGAGCAGCGUCCACUGCACACACACCACGUUGUCUUUGUCUCCGAUGGGGGCCGUGCGGCUUAUCUUGACUGUUGUGAGUGGUGCUCAGUGAGCACGAGGAGGCAGGCGCCUCUUCAAACACCCGGAGGUGGGACUGCCAGGCCAGGUGGUGCUUCUGCGUCUAGUUUGAUGUCCCACUUGUUUAUUGUUUAUUCUACUGCUUGCACUUGAGGUGUGACUGCCUGUCUUCCCAAACGGGCACCCUAAGGUGGAACUGUGCCAAGUCACUUGGAAUUGGUGGAGUAUUCUUCCUUCCUUCAAUUGUUGGAUGAAUGUUUACCGAACAAGACGUGCGGGGCCCUGCGGGAAGGGGAGGCGUGGUCCGUGGGCGCAUCAGACCGCACACACGCUCAGGCGAGCAUGUGUGUGGGGAGGAUCGAACGGGUACCUGCUCACGUGUGAAGAAACCGGCUUCAGGAGGUCAGAAGCAGAGACGUCCUUCAGGAAUUCCAGGUCCUCACAGCUGCUCUCCCUGGAUGACAGAAGUUCCAUUUAAAAAUAUGACUUGGAGUUGAUGCAUUUUUACUCAAUGUCACAGAACUGUGCAGUUGAAAACGGUAAAUUUUAUAUCCUUGUAGCACGACUAUACAUACGUGUGUGUUGUGGGAAAGUUCUUCCUCUCUGUUCAUCUGGGAAGUGGGAACAGGAGUGUCUGCUUCGUGGGGCUGUUGAGAGGAGUAGGUGGGGGGCGUCGCACGGCUGCUGGGCCUGGUGCUCAGCGCGCUCAGUGUCACUGCUACCUGGAGGGGCGUGCCGUUUAUGCCGCAGUGGAGACGCUUUGCGCCUUCAGUCAGAUGAACAGGGUUCGUGUCAGCAGGGGUGUCAUGCUGCUGGCUUGCGCUCUGGACAAAACGUGAUGAGGACGGCGCUUCCCCCUUGUCCUCCAGCCCAGAGCCCCUGGGGAGACCUGGUGACCAAGUGCAGCAUGGUCCCUGGACAGAGAAAGGGCCGCAGGUGAAAGGGAAGGAGGUCUGAGUAAAUGACGGACUUGAGGCAGUAAUGAUGCAUCGAUACUGUGCAUCCCUGUUCCUUUGAUUGGGCCACACUUGUCUUUAUUCCUGUGCCUCGUGUGUUGUUUUAUGUAUCUGAUGAAACAGGUGCCUCUCCCACUUUUCCUACAGGGGAGAGCUUCACAGGCAGUCUCGCCGGAGACCCUGGGGACCUCUGGAGCACUUUUCGAAGGACGCAGUUUGCGAGGUUUGCAGGCUUCUGCUCCUGGGGGCUCUGGCACUACUGCCCUUGGUGCUGCUGCAGCGGGGUGCCCUGUCCCUUGUUCUCAGUGGUCCCCAGAAUCCCCCAGGAGGCUGGCUCCCUGUCAGCAUCCUGCGUCAGGUGAGACAGGUACCCGUCCCUCCAGCAGCCUCUUCAGAGCUGGACCGCUGGACCCACAAGUCAUCCCUCUGUCCUCCUGAGGGAGAAGCUGUGAGCUGGGUGUCUUCCGCACAUGCUCUGGCGUGGCAGCAGGCCACGCCCGCUCCCCCUUGCUUUCCGUGGUCCCUGGGCAUCUAGACUGUAACAGCCACAUCACGUUGCAGGUCAGUGGAGACGGAGCCGGUCCCUGGCAGCCCCCCAACGCUGACGAGCCAGAGCACGUCCUCUGUUCCUGCAGCUCCAGAGCUGCGGGCGGGUCGUCUUCUCCGGAUCCUUCUGAGCGCUGGCCGGGGGAGGGACAGCCGUGGGCAGCGGCGCAGCUCUUCCUGCCUGCCGCAGUGCAGCUGUUCUCAGCUUCCCGCUUGCCUGUCUCUGGUCCUCAACACGGUGUUUUGGUCCCUGUUCUAAGUUGGUGUCUCUGUGAGAAUGAGAGCUGAGGCUUCCCAUUCCACCACCUGGCCAACACCCCCCACAAGAGUUUCCAAAAAGGAAGCAGGCACAGGCCAUAGAACCACAAGGAGGCAUCACUCAGCGCUAUGCAGGCAGACGCACUCCUUGACUGAGACGGGAAAGCCCAGGCCGGGCGCGGACCCAGCGCAGGAGCAGGACGGAGGAAGGAGCCGUGAGCCCAAGGACGCAGCCGCUUCCAGAAGCUGUACAGGCCAGGAAGCUCGGCCCUGCCAGCACCUUCGUCAGCCCGGUGCGACCCGCUGUGGACUUCCGACCUCCGGAGCUGUACAGCAGUAAAUUUGCUUUGUCUUA